AAAAUUCACAUUGGCUCACCAAGCAACGUUCGGAAAAUCAAAAAUAAAUAUGAAUUACUUUUCAGUAUUCAUCCUCGUCGCCCUCCUUUUGGCCAUCAUCCAUCAGGGUGAAUCGAGUACUCUUAUCGUUGACUUCUUAAAAAAACUGGAGGAAAUAGCGCACAACGCCGCACAAAUGGGAUUCAAAAUUACUAAUCCCAUCGGUAAUAUGCUCAGGGAAAAGUGACGACAGCAACUGUAUCUAUUACUUUCAAAAAAUGUAUUGUUUGAAAUAAAUAAAUGAUGCUUAUUUAAUGUAA